AUUGAACGCUGGCGGCAGGCUUAACACAUGCAAGUCGAGCGAGCGGCGGACGGGUGAGUAAUGUCUGGGAAACUGCCUGAUGGAGGGGGAUAACUACUGGAAACGGUAGCUAAUCCCGCAUACCAUCAGAUGUGCCCAGAUGGGCUUAGCUAGUGGGUGGGGUAAUGGCUCACAUAGGCGACGAUCCCUAGCUGGUCUGAGAGGAUGACCAGCCACACUGGAACUGGGACCCGGCCCAGAUUCCGCCGGGAGGCAGCAGUGGGGAAUAUUGCACAAUGGGCGCAAUCCGGAUGCGGCCAUGCCGCGUGUGUGAAGAAGGCCUUCGGGUUGUAAAGCACGUUCAGCGAGGAGGCGUUACUCACAGAGGAAGCACCGGCUAACUCCGUGCCAGCAGCCGCGGUAAUAC
rnacentral:rRNA from 1 species